UACAUAGGUGGCAAACGUUAUCCGGAAUUAUUGGGCGUAAAGGGUGCGUAGGUGGUUCAAUAAGUUACUGGUGGCAAAUCGGGGCCCAACCCCGUGGAAGUCGGUAAUACUAUUAAACUAGAGGAUCGGAGAGGUUAACGGAAUUCUAUGUGUAGCGGUAAAAUGCUCAAAUAUAUAGAGGAACACCAAACGGCGAAGGCAGUUAACUAGUCGGUGCCUGACGUUGAGGCACGAAAGCGUGGGGAGCAAGACGG
rnacentral:rRNA from 1 species